AUCUCAUCUCAGUCCACAGAAAUACCAGAAUACUAGGCUACUAUUGAGAAGGCAAAAUCCUCAAGAUAUAACAACUCCUGCUGACCAUAGUGAGAGAUCAAAGAGAUGUCGCCGGGGCUGUAAGAGGACGGCUGAGGGCAGUCCAACCAAUCAGUGGCCAGAAGCCGAGGGUAUCCUUCAGGGGCGGAGCCUGGACCCCCACACCACACCCUGCUUUGGGUCCCAGUGCAAUCCUUGCCACCUUCCUUCUGAGUCCUCAGGAGCCAGAGUAGACAGAGGCUGAGGGAAACCCUCUUGGAGUGACAGAUCCUUAAACAGCCAAACCUGGGAACCUGCACAUAACCGCUUGCAGUGGAGGAAGUGAAGAAGGAAGAGCCGACCAAAGUCUCUGUACAGGGACAGCCCUGACUGACACCAGACCACCUCUGCUCACUCUCCACAUGUUCUGCCCUACAAAAUGCAUAAGAAAAGAAUUACCUGGUUGUCUGAAGGCCCAUUUCUCCUCUGCAUCCAAGUGAACUCCACCAGCCCUGUCUGGAUCUGA